rnacentral:rRNA from 1 species
UACGGGGGAUGCGAGCGUUAUCCGGAUUUAUUGGGUUUAAAGGGUGCGUAGGCGGCGCUUCAGGUCAGCGGUGAAAUACCGGGGCUCAACCCCGGGGCUGCCGUUGAAACUGCAUCCCUUGAGUGCGCGAGAAGUAUGCGGAAUGCGUGGUGUAGCGGUGAAAUGCAUAGAUAUCACGCAGAACUCCGAUUGCGAAGGCAGCAUACCGGCGCGCAACUGACGCUCAUGCACGAAAGCGUGGGUAUCGAACAGG